UGAGCAAUCUGCCCUUCUCAUCGGAAUAAGCGUUGGAAACAACGUCUAAUGCCGAAUACGACCUCCUUUCGCAUGAUCGGAGGUGGAAAGCUCCGGCGGAGAAGGAUGAGCUCGCGGCCUAUCAGCUAGUUGGUGUGGGUAAUGGCCCACCAAGGCGACGACGGGUAGCCGGCCUGAGAGGGCGACCGGCCACACUGGGACUGAGACACGGCCCAGACUCCUACGGGAGCAG
rnacentral:rRNA from 1 species